AUUGAACGCUGGCGGAAUGCUUUACACAUGCAAGUCGAACGGCAGCACGGACUACGGUCUGGUGGCGAGUGGCGAACGGGUGAGUAAUGUAUCGGAACGUGCCCAGUCGUGGGGGAUAACGUAGUGAAAAUUACGCUAAUACCGCAUACGAUCUAUGGAUGAAAGCGGGGGAUCGCAAGACCUCGCGCGAUUGGAGCGGCCGAUAUCAGAUUAGGUAGUUGGUGGGGUAAAGGCCCACCAAGCCAACGAUCUGUAGCUGGUCUGAGAGGACGACCAGCCACAAUGGAACUGAGACACGGUCCAGACUCCUACGGGAGGCAGCAGUUGGGAAUUUUGGACAAUGGGCGAAAGCCUGAUCCAGCCAUUCCGCGUGCAGGAUGAAGGCCCUCGGGUUGUAAACUGCUUUUGUACAGAACGAAAAGGUUUCUACUAAUACUAGGAGCUCAUGACGGUACUGUAAGAAUAAGCACCGGCUAACUACGUGCCAGCCGCCGCGGUAA
rnacentral:rRNA from 1 species